AAAUCUUCAAUAUAAACAAACAAAAUAAAUCACAAGUUAGUUUGCAAGCAGCAGUUAUAAAUUAUUAUGUAUCUAAGAUCCAUUUUAAAGGCUGAGAAAUUAAAUGUAAAAUAUCUAAUAUUAAGUUGAUAUUAUUUAUUGACUUUAAGUUGCUAUUUUUGUAGUUAUAUGGAUUGAAUUGAUUGAAUUUAAUGCAACAUGUUUGUGUACUAUAUAUUUUGUUCUAAUAAUAUAUUGUUUAUUGAAAAAUUAUAGAAAAUAGCAAAUGGUGAAGUUACUUACUCUAACUAAUGCAACACCUCGGGUCCAUCUCACUUCUUGAAAAUUACAGUGAUUAUUAUUAUAAAAUAGCUUAUAAAUACAUUAAAGAGAUUUUGACAUGCGUCUAUUUUGAAGAAACAGCAAAGAACCAAGUCACGAUCUUAAAAUUCUUUAUUCUGAUCUUAUAGAGUUGGUUCACUGGUGCUAUUUUAUCCGAUAUCCGAGGACUUAGUAUAAUAUUCUUAAUAUAAAGACUUUUUAAUUUUUACAGUAUAGGGAUGUUAGCCUUAUAUGUCACGAUGAAUAUCCAUACUUUGAAGGAACUGAGGGAAGAGCUCGGAAUAACCUGGGGACAAUAAACCCGCAACAACAUUGUUAUCUUCUCACCAUUUUUACAUAAAUAUAUACUCAAUUAUUUCAACUUGAAAGCAAUAUGUUUUUUAGUGCUAUAAGUUUCGAAUCCUGAUUAUUUGCUAUUGACAUACUCACCUAUUAGCAUGAUAGAAGAUGGUAUUCAGUGACACUAUUUAAAAGUAAUAUUUUAAGCAAUAAAAACCUAUUUGUUAUGAUUUUAUAUGAACUUAAGUUAAACACUAUAAUUAGUGUAUUUUGAUUGUAUUCUAAACGUAAUCAACUUCUGUAAACAAUAAUUUAGUAGCUAUAAAUAAUUAUUUUACUCUGCAGCACAACUAUACAAUGUCGGUAAAUAAAAACAAAAAAAUUGUAAUAAAAACUUCAUCUUCAAAAUAGAAUAAAUUCUUGAUAAGUACAUACUUAUAAUAUUCAAUAGAGAUUGCUGUUAAAGUUAGAUUGCAAGUGGACACUUAAGUGCCUUUUGAGUAUCAUAAUUAUUACCAAUUAGUCGUCAAAAGAUACUAUAGAUAAUAGAUAUAUUCAAUCUUUAACGAGUUGGUAAUAUUAUAGAUAGAUGAUGUAAUAAAUUGCUUUAUUUCGACUAUAUGAUUCUCUUUCAAUAUGUAGGUAAUGCCUUAUACAGUUACACGUUACACUAAGCCUUUAAUAAAGCUUACUUAGUAAACUUAUAUAUUAUAUAAACCUAGCACUUGAGUAGUAGUUUCAACUUUCAAGUACACUUCCAAUCAAACAUUUAUGUCAUGUCAUAUUAUAUGAAAAAUAUAAAAAAAAUUAAUUUUAUUAGUAUCUAAGUAUCUAUUGUUUUUUUUUUUUUUUUAUGAAAUAUAAUAAAAUACCAAAAAUCUUUUAAGGAGAAAUAAUUAUUUUACGGGUGAAACGAAUGUCGUAAAUGUUUAAACUUAAAAUGCUUAUAAAGUUUAAUUUGACCAGUACUUUAUUUUUUUCCGUAAAUAGGUAGAUUGAAAAACUAAUUAACUAAUUUAAGAACCUUGUAUUGAAUUUUUAAAUUUUAAUAGAUCUAAAAAUAAAAAAAAUUCUAAAUUUCUAUCUAUUAAAUAAUUUAAUAAUUUUGGGGGUAUUUAUGAGUUUUUUCAAAAUUCUCACUAUAGUAUACAGGGUACAAAAUGUAAAGAUUUUUGAUAUUUUUAAAUUGAAAGAUUAAAGUAUUAUGACUUACGACAAACUUUGUAUUAAAUUGUCCAACAAAUAAUUUUUAAACUAUAUUUAUAUAAAAAUAAAAAAACUAAAAAAAAAAUUUGUAUGCCUAUAAUUAACACUAAAAUAGUCAAAAAAAUUUUAAAUUUUUAUCAUAAAUAGGAAAUGAUGACUUAGUGAAAAAUUAGUAGUUACCGGUUAUUCGUUUUUGAUUCACAUAAAAAACGAAUCAAUUUUAUCAAAACUUGGAUUUGUGUAAAAAUUUUCGUUAUUCCUUGAUUUUAUAUUUGUGUUUCCCGAAUAUAAAAAAAAUUAAUUUUUAAAAAGUAAAAGUUUAAAUUUAAGCUCUAUAUAUCUCAAAAUAGAUCCAAUUCGAUAUUUAAAACCACCUCUAUGUUUGAAAAUCUUAGCAUUUUAUCGACAACUUAUCUUGAACUCAUCCGUAAAAAAACACAUCAUUAUAAAAUCAAUACAUAUUAAUUAGAAAUAAAUAAAUAAGGAAAAGUCAAUCUCAAAUGUUUAAUCGUUUCAUAAUAGAUGAAUCAGUAAGUAAAAAACACCUCAAAUUUCAAUGCACCGAGUGUGUUAGGCAAAGACAUAGAGGCGGUUGGUAUCGAUUCUCCUAAGCGGUUUUGUAGUUCAAUAUAUAUUUUUGAUUUUUCUAUUUUACCUAAUAAAUAUUUACUAAUAUGAUUUUAAGUACACGAUGGGGAUGUACACAUGUAUAGAUCAGUGGUCUCAAAUAUGUGGCUCGCAAGCCCUUUCGAUGUGGGCCGCAAUAAAUAUUUAUUUCUUCAACAAUUUUAAUUUUGUUUAUUUUAGAUUUAAUAUUAAAAUGAGUAAAAAAAAAUGUGUUUUGCCCGCAAACCUUUGGCGUAAAUAUAUAUAUAUAUGGUUCGUUAGGGCAAUUUGAAUUGAGACCACUGGUAUAGAUUACGAGUAUAUAGCAAGUUUUAGUUACCUAUAAUAGGUAUACCUAUAAGUAAUAAAAUAAAUUAUUAAAAAAAAUCUUAAAUAGAGUAAUGAUUUGUCAUUGUUAUAGUCAUUUACUUGUAACUUGGAUGAAUUCUAUUGAUUAUUUGACCAUAAAUAAAGUAUAACUUAAUUAUUAAUUAUAGUAUUAAUUUAUAGAUAAUGAAUAAUGAUAUGUAAAUUGAAUCUAUUAGAGAUCCUUAAAUGUAUAUAUUUUAUAUGUAUAUAUAUAUAUAUAUAAAUGUAUAUAAUAUAUACACUAUAAUAUAGUACAUAUUCAUUCCAUAAGUCGCAUAACACUCUUAUAAGGAUCUUCACGUGAUAAAUCAAUCUUUUCGAGAGUAUGAAUAAUAAUCUAUAAUAAAAUUCCAUUUUGAAGGACUAAGUAGAUAGUAAAGAAGUAGGUAAUCAAACACCUACACAUUGGAUGUCCAGUUUGUAUUUUGCCAUUGAGUAUGUACUGUAAAGAUGUGUUAAAUUACUUAAAUUUGAAUUCUAUGAUAAAUUAUUAUAUACGAUAAAAAAAAAUUGUUAACGAAAACGGUUUAUCUUUUAUGUACCUAACCAAUAAGGUAGUACUAUUUUAAUAAUUAUAUUCAUAUUUUCAAUAAUUUCCGUAUGGUGUUUUCCAAUUAUAUUUUUAAAGGUUUUGAUUAUGUUAAAUUUUGAAUUCCCAAAGUAUCUACUAAAUCCAAUUAUAGCUACCAUAAAUCUUAAUAAAAGUUUAUAAUUAGAAUAUUUUUUACUAGAAAAAGUGUCUAAGAGCAAAAAUAAGAAUUACACGUUAUUGUAAAAAAUAAAUACAUUCAUUGCUUCUUUUAGAAUCUAAAAUUCAAAAAAUUAUUUUUUUAAUAAUACAUUUUUGGAAACCUUCAAAAUAUCAUAUUAUAAUAUUAAGCUUAUUAUGUAUUUAUGUAGAUAAUUAAAAGAAAGAAAAUUACUGUAAGUGACUGGAAUUCAAUCAGGCUAUCGUUAAUUAAGUUUUUGAGUUCAUUGGAAUCAAUGAUGACGUAAUAAAUAUACAAAUAGAUAAUAUUAUGGGGUAGAUAUUUUUUUGUUUUAAUUACAAUUAACUCUAUUAAAUCCGUUUUUAAAAUGUAACAAUUUUAUUUAGAUAAUAAUUUAUUAUAUUGUACUAUAAACAUUAUUAUUAUCAUCAUCUUUAAUUUCAUUUUGUGUAUUAUGUUAAUAAAUAGUUUCAUAAUCAGUAUUUUAUAAAAUAGAAAUUAUAUCAUAUUAUUAUUCUUACACCACUACUUCGUUAAAAUUCUGAUAAGUGUUUUAUGAAUGAUAAUCGGAAGUAUAGA